rnacentral:misc_RNA from 1 species
UGAAAUAAUUAAAAAAAGAAUGAUGAAGUGUGACUGCAAGGGACGUCCGGUAUCCUUUUCUGUCAUUGCACUUUUCCUGACAUGAUAAGGCUCUACCACGUACACUUUGGUAUUCAUAAUGAAGAAAGGAGUGUUUUUAUCAUGAAAUGGCUCUCAGGUGUAAAAAUGCAUAGGAUAUAUCUUAGUUUAUUGAAGUUAAGAAUUGGUGCUUUGUGGACUAAAAAAUAUGUGCAAUAUCCAUUGUCACACCACCACUCUGUUCAAGAAUAUCGAUCAGUCCUGAAUGAUAAAGAAAAUGAUUAACAAAGGAAUAUCUAGAACUUGAUUGUGUGCAUGAUUUAAUUCCAAAUAUAAGUAUUGGAAUAAUUCAUCCUCCUUAUUUUCAACAAAAACUCUUCAUUUGGUAAUAUACAUUUGUGCUUAUCAGUGUGGUGUCUUGUGUAACAAAUCGUCAGUAUUAUAAAAUAGAUGGAAAGAUCUUUGAUUAUUGCAAGAGCUUUAUGUGCU